rnacentral:rRNA from 1 species
UGCAGCGACGCCGCGUGAGGGAUAGAAGGCCUCUCGGGUUGUAAACCUCUUUCAGCAGGGAAGAAGCGCUAAGUGACGGUACCUGCAGAAGAAGCGCCGGCUAACUACGUGCCAGCAGCCGCGGUAAUACGUAGGGCGCGAGCGUUGUCCGGAAUUAUUGGGCGUAAAGAGCUCGUAGGCGGUUUGUCGCGUCUGCUGUGAAAACUUGAGGCUCAACCUCGGGCUUGCGGUGGGUACGGGCAGACUAGAGUGCGGUAGGGGAGACUGGAAUUCCUGGUGUAGCGGUGGAAUGCGCAGAUAUCAGGAGGAACACCGAUGGCGAAGGCGGGUCUCUGGGCCGCAACUGACGCUGAGGAGCGAAAGCAUGGGGAGCGAACAGGAUUAGAUACCCUGGUAGUCCAUGCCGUAAACGUUGGGCACUAGGUGUGGGGCUCCUUCCACGGAGUUCCGUGCCGCAGCAAACGCAUUAAGUGCCCCGCCUGGGGAGUACGGCCGCAAGGCUAAAACUCAAAGAAAUUGACGGGGGCCCGCACAAGCGGCGGAGCAUGCGGAUUAAUUCGAUGCAACGCGAGAACCUUACCAAGGCUUG